GAUUCAUCGUCAGCUCAUUUUGUAUAUGUAGUANGUUAUGAUGCGAGUUACUCUNUGUAGUAUUGCUUGCACGUACUUUUACAUUUAUCUGCAAGAUGUUGUCGGCGUGCACUUCUCCCCUAGUAGAACGUCGCGACCCGUUGAGUGUCUGUCUACGACUCGAGUGGUAGACUUUGAUAUUUUUAUAAUAUUAAAGACCCUUGGUGUUUUCUGACAGACUGCUCGGCGGUAUUCGUACGGUAUUUAGCCGCAUUCUCAUGNNCGUUCAUGUCCAUCGCAAGCGAGGCCAAUUUCUGAUAGUUACGGACCUAGUGCCGUCGUUGGAAUUGGCCAGCUGUUGGUUGUAUGGUAUUCUAGAACUGGCUAAAAAUUAAUUAUCGGUCGGCGAUGCUACUGCUUUGGGUACUUUCAGGACCCGUCUUGAAACA
rnacentral:rRNA from 1 species